rnacentral:tRNA from 1 species
UGGCUCAGUCAGUAGAGCGUCCGCCUCACAACCGGGAGGUCGUGGGUUCGAAUCCCGGC